rnacentral:lncRNA from 1 species
CUGUCCUACUGCCGCCAGCCAAUCCCACAAUCAUGUUGAUGAUGUCAGCCAUCGGGUUGUUGUCGAGGUUGUCUUCCAUAUUGGCAUUCACCUGUUGUGAUUCCUCCAUCGAGCCCUUUUCUUUGUUGCAAAUAUAUUUUUUGAGGUAUCCAUGAUGGAUGAGGUCUUCGAUCUCAUUCUUCAGCUAGCGACACUCCUCAGUAUCA